rnacentral:rRNA from 1 species
CAAUAGCGUAUAUUAAAGUUGUUGCAGUUAAAAAGCUCGUAGUUGGAUUUCUGGUCGGCAGCUCCUGUCCUCUGAUGAGCGUACAAGUGCGUCCUACCAUCCUUCUGUUAACCUUUAAGGCUUUCGCGGCUUUCUAGGGGCUCAGAUAUUUUACCUUGAGAAAAUUAGAGUGUUUCAGGCAGGCUAGCGCCGGAAUACAUUAGCAUGGAAUAAUGGAAUAGGACUUUUGCCUCUUCUGUUGGUCAUGAGGCUCGAGUAAUGAUUAAUAGGGAUAGUUGGGGGCAUUAGUACUUAACUGUCAGAGGUGAAAUUCUCGGAUUUGUUAAAGACUAACUUAUGCGAAAGCAUUUGCCAAGGAUGUUUNCAUUAA